rnacentral:antisense_RNA from 1 species
GCAGUUGGUGGACCUGGUCGCGCUGUGCCGGGUGUGACACUACGGAGAGCAGAUUACAUAAUCAAAAGCACCAAGUUGAAACAUUUGCAAGGUGUGCAUCAUUUCACAAUUAUUGGCAGUGGUUCAAUGGUUUCAUCUGCUUUGAAUGGUUUCUUCUCUAUCAUUAAGAGGUGAAGGUUGAUCAUGGUGAUGUGAAACUCUACCAAAAUCUCCAUCUGCAGAGCGGAGGCAUGGUGCUGUAGAAGGGCACUGGAGGGAAACUCAGAUCACUGAGGUCCAGCCUCACUGCAGCCCUUGGUUCUUUCCUUGGCCCGUGAAGAGUCUCUUAGCCUCACUGAACCUAUUUUCCUCCUCUGUACAAUGUUCACAAUUAAGUCCUUGCUUAAUGCACAGUAGUGUGGGGAAAAUAUUAGAAUACCAUUUACAUUUGUAUGAUCUUUGAUAGCUCAUGAAACCCUUCUUGUCUGUUUUUUUUUUUUUCGCAUACAAAUGCAGUGAAGUAUUUGGCCUAGGCAAAGAAUUUAUGACUGAUCUCAAAAGCAAAUGCAACAAAACAAAAAUAGACAAAUGAG